CUCCCUCAAUCAACGGAGAUUAGAUUAACAGAUUAACAUCAGUCAGAGUCCAUACCUGGAGGCAGGACUCUGCUACACAGCGGGAGAAGGCUGAUAUUCCCAAAGUUGGCUGUAGAUGUUUCUUACAUGUUAGCGGUAGCAAGAUACUGAUGGAACUGAUAAAGACACGAAAGGCGGUUACUCUGAAAGAGCUCCAAGUGAAGAAAUCAGCUAAGAAGCAGAAUUUUGGAUCUAGAUCAGCAGAGGCUGAAACAAGGCAGCAGGCAGCAUAUACAGGCACAGGGAGAAGAUGCAGUGAGUUGUCAGAAAUAAGCGGAAAGCGUGGAAUUUCCCGGUCAUGAAAAUGAGGAGUGUAUGCCAUGUGUACCUAAAUCUUGUGUUGGGAGCAUGUAGGUAAGGCCAGGGAGAUGUGUUGAUUGGUUGAUGGCUGCAGGUGGAGGUAGGAAG
rnacentral:lncRNA from 10 species